AAGAGUUGCAAAACUCCCACAAACCAUCGCGGACGUUACCCAGACGUCGUUGCUUCGGCGGGCUCGCCCGCCGGGGGGACGCUACCAGACUCUUGCAGUUCUUCGGCCUCUCUGAGUAUGAUUUUUUAAAUAAGUCA
rnacentral:misc_RNA from 1 species